ensembl:lncRNA
CUCUACAGACAGUCACUGUGUGUCCCUAGUCCCUCCUCCUCUACAGACAGUCACUGUGGGUUCCUAGUCCCUCGUUCCUCUACAGACAGUCACUGUGUGUCCCUAUUCCUCGUUCCUCUGCAUUCCUCUGCAUACUGUGUAGUUCACCAGGACUUCUCCUGAAAGGUCUGGGUCUGCUGUUUCACACACACUGGGUGUGUUCCAGGUGGUCUGUUUUGCAGUCAUGCUGCACAUCUCAGAAGAUUUCAAUAUGUAAUAUUUAUGAGCUGCCUGAGAUGUUAAAAAAACCUCUCCAGGAACGCACCCACACCUAAUACUGUAAACAUGUCUGUGUGUUUUCUGCAGUUUCCUUCCUCAAUGCUAAUACUGUAAACAUGUCUGUGUGUUUUCUGCAGUUUCCUUCCUCAAUGCUAAUACUGUAAACAUGUCUGUCUGUUUUCUACAGUUUCCUUCCUCAAUGCUAAUACUGUAAACAUGUACUGUGUGUUUUCUGCAGUUUCCUUCCAGCCCUACCACAGUGAGGCACGUUGUUAGCUCAACACAACAAUGUAAAUAUUGUGUAACGUAAAAGUGUCAGGGAUUCACGGUAAACAUUCCUCUGACGCAUUGUGAUGCAUGCUAUACAUACGUACUGUAACUAGGGUGUAUUUUUGGUGUACUUUUCUGUUUUGUUAUAUAAUAUGAAAUGUAUGAGGAUAACAAUAAUAGCUUAUUAAAUAUAAUUCUGAGGAACAAAAGUGACAA